AGUCGAGCGAACAGACGAGGAGCUUGCUCCUCUGACGUUAGCGGCGGACGGGUGAGUAACACGUGGAUAACCUACCUAUAAGACUGGGAUAACUUCGGGAAACCGGAGCUAAUACCGGAUAACAUGUUGAACCGCAUGGUUCAACAGUGAAAGACGGUCUUGCUGUCACUUAUAGAUGGAUCCGCGCCGCAUUAGCUAGUUGGUAAGGUAACGGCUUACCAAGGCAACGAUGCGUAGCCGACCUGAGAGGGUGAUCGGCCACACUGGAACUGAGACACGGUCCAGACUCCUACGGGAGGCAGCAGUAGGGAAUCUUCCGCAAUGGGCGAAAGCCUGACGGAGCAACGCCGCGUGAGUGAAGAAGGUCUUCGGAUCGUAAAACUCUGUUAUUAGGGAAGAACAAAUGUGUAAGUAACUAUGCACGUCUUGACGGUACCUAAUCAGAAAGCCACGGCUAACUACGUGCCAGCAGCCGCGGUAAUACGUAGGUGGCAAGCGUUAUCCGGAAUUAUUGGGCGUAAAGCGCGCGUAGGCGGUUUUUUAAGUCUGAUGUGAAAGCCCACGGCUCAACCGUGGAGGGUCAUUGGAAACUGGAAAACUUGAGUGCAGAAGAGGAAAGUGGAAUUCCAUGUGUAGCGGUGAAAUGCGCAGAGAUAUGGAGGAACACCAGUGGCGAAGGCGACUUUCUGGUCUGUAACUGACGCUGAUGUGCGAAAGCGUGGGGAUCAAACAGGAUUAGAUACCCUGGUAGUCCACGCCGUAAACGAUGAGUGCUAAGUGUUAGGGGUUUCCGCCCCUUAGUGCUGCAGCUAACGCAUUAAGCACUCCGCCUGGGGAGUACGACCGCAAGGUUGAAACUCAAAGGAAUUGACGGGGACCCGCACAAGCGGUGGA
rnacentral:rRNA from 1 species